CCUACGGGUGGCAGCAGUGGGGAAUUUUGGACAAUGGGGGCAACCCUGAUCCAGCCAUUCCGCGUGAGUGAAGAAGGCCUUCGGGUUGUAAAGCUCUUUCGCAAGGGAAGAAAACUUACUCAAUAACACUGGGUGAGGCUGACGGUACCUUGAUAAGAAGCACCGGCUAACUACGUGCCAGCAGCCGCGGUCAUACGUAGGGUACGAGCGUGAAUCGGAAUUACUGGGGCGAAAGCGUGCGUCGGAGGUGAAAUCCCCGGGCUCAACCUGGGAACUGCGUUUGAAACUACAAGGCUAGAGUAUGGCAGAGGGGGGUAGAAUUCCACGUGUAGCAGUGAAAUGCGUAGAGAUGUGGAGGAAUACCAAUGGCGAAGGCAGCCCCCUGGGUCAAUACUGACGCUCAUGCACGAAAGCGUGGGGAGCAAACAGGAUUAGAUACCCUAGUAGUC
rnacentral:rRNA from 1 species